AUGCUCCCUUUGCCAGCAUAUAUGCUAAAAUUGGAAUGACACAGAGAAGAUUAACAUGGCCCCUGUGCAAGGAUGACAUGCAAAUUCAUGAAGCAUUCCAUAAAAAA
rnacentral:snRNA from 1 species